rnacentral:snRNA from 1 species
AAGGCAAUGUUCUCAAAGGCG